AUGUUCCAUGUCCUCUCUCUUUCUGUGUGUUGUCGUCCAUGUAUGGCGAGGGGCAUGUCUCUCUCUCUCUCUCUCUCUCUCUCUCUCUCUCUCGUCCAUGUAUGGCUUCAGUUAGAGAGGGGCAUGUCUCUCUCUCUCUCCCUCUCUCUCUCUCUCUCUCGUCCAUGUAUGGCUUCAGUUAGAGAGGGGCAUGUCCUCUCUCUUUCUGUGUGUUGUCGUCCAUGUAUGGCGAGGGGCAUGUCUCUCUCUCGCUCUCUCUCUCUCUCUCUCUCUCUCGUCCAUGUAUGGCUUCAGUUAGAGAGGGGCAUGUCCUCUCCAAACUUCAUACAGUGGGCAGCGUUCUUGGCUUCAACACCAUCUGGACAACAACAGGUAGAAGGGCAGGAGAGAAAUAAAAGGAGAGAAAGAAGAGAUUUAAGCACAUGGGGAACAUCAUAAAGAAAAUACCUUUUCACACAGCAUUAUUCCUAGCCUCAGACUACUACUGGCCCUGUGCUAUCUUCACACAAGCAGAGUACGGUCUUCACACAAGCAGAGUAUUCUGAAACCAACGGUCAACUUUAUGGGAAAAUUCUAAUUAGGUAACAAAGUAACUGAUUGGUUAGCCCUGAAAAGUUGGUGCUAACCCUGCUCCAGAGCAUAGCCAGCUAGCCCUGUGCUAAGGUUGGUGCUAACCCUGCUCUAGAGCACAGCCAGCUAGCCCUGGGCUAAGGUUGGUG
rnacentral:lncRNA from 1 species